rnacentral:lncRNA from 1 species
AUAAACGGAGCAAGAUUAGGACAACAUUCUAAUGUGAUAGAUGAAUCAGUUUCUAUUUUAUAUAUUUUGUUUUUACUCCCUCCAUCUCUGAUCUAUGAUUCUUUUCGGAUUAUCGGUUUUUGCCACAAAACUUUAGUCUUUUCCUUGAACUUUUCCCUCAAAUUUAAUCAAGUACCCAAUCAUAAUUUUUAUCAAUAUACAAGACAACAUGAAUACAAUUUUUUCUUAACAGUUACGUCUUCCAAGUUCUAGUAUAGUACUAUAUUGCCACCAACCGCAAGUUCUACUGCACAUGAUUCACGUCCUUGGCCUUUUGUAAACAUUUAUUUUAAUUCUGCAUCUCUUUCUUUGAGUCUUUAUACACUCUGGCCAAAAACAUAUAAGUUACGCAUAACAUAACCCACUAACACACAUGAUUCCAACCUAUAAAUGAAAGCACUUAUUUCAUCAGCUCAUGGAAAUUGAUGAUAUUAAAGAAUUGAAACAUGCACAAAAGAUAAAUUUGUGAAACUUGUAUAAAAAACAAUGUCUCGUUAACUGUUGAGAUUUCAAGAAGAACUUGCCUUACGAACAACACUAGGCAUAACAGCAGUCCUCGACACACAGUAUUUCUUCCAAAAUUCUGUUUAAAGUUUUAAACAAAUAAGAAGCAAAAGGGUGAGUUUAUUUUCAUACGGCUGAAAGAAGUACAUAUUACCCCAUAUUAAUUUAACCACAAAGAAACAUAUUAUUAAUACAACAUUAAUAUUACAGCACUCCUUUUUUCAUAUAGGAAAACUUACUUCCUCCUUUUUUCUGCUUAGCAAGCAACAAUUUGACAAUCUUCAAACGAGGCUUCUUAGCAACUUCAUUUUUGUUGUUUUUUGAGGGAUGCAUCGUAGCAAAUUCUGUUGAAUGUUCUGAUCAAAUUAGAAACGAACCGGCUGAAAUUAAAGUUUACAAAAAAUAAAUGGGCUGAAUUUGGCAAGUAUGCAAUAAUAGCCAGAUAAACAUAACCAACGUAUGUGUACCAAUACUCAAUCAAGAGGUUGCAUUUUCAUAAAAUAAAAAGCUGAAUGAAUUGUGUCUUCACAUGGUUCUAAGCUGAAUGAAUUAGUUGUUUGGUAUAAGAGAAAGUUGAAUAGAAAGUUGAAGGAAAGAAAGACCUAAAUUUAGUAAUUGAUAUUAAUAUCCUUAAAUAAAAAUAAUAUGUUAGUAUAUAUAAACUAAUUGUCUAUUUAGUGGAAAAAU